GUUUAUUUUUUUACCAAGAGGAGUAAACUAAGAAGACAGAUUCACACCCAAGAAAAGUCACCAAAUUCAUCUUCUUUUUUCGUUGAUUAUGUCGGCUUUACGGUAAUUCAGUAAUCACAAUCGGAGAACCUCGCACGUCGAUUGUCACAAGUAUGCAAGCCAAGAAAGAGAGUAAAUAAGAAGAACACGUCGAUUCUAACCUCAACUUGUUGUUGGUUUGUUUGAAUAAUUUUUUCCAAUUUAUGUACUUCCAAUAUAAGAAAAUCGCCCGGAAAGUAUACGAAAGCCAUGUGAUAAAAUUAUAUCAAAUCCAAUGGAAUUUUACAAUAUUGAAUUUCAUCAGCUGCAAUAACUUAAACAACAAAGAUUUUAUGCUACUUUAUAGGAAUAUAACCAGUUUUUAUGAAGUUGCCCAUUUCAAAUUACAGCUCUUUCAUGUUCUAGAAGCGAGAUUAUGAAUGUUGUUGGUGAACAACAAGGUCAAGUUAUGUUGGCUUAAUAUUUGAUCUAAGUGCAUUAAGAGGUAUCAUGAGAAAGAGUGAAAUUCCAGGAUUAUUAAUUGGCAAUAGUAGAUACGCAUGCAAAUACUAUCUAUUUACUUCAGUAUUACAGCCAGGUGCCAUCUGUGAGAGUCCACAACUCAAGUCCAUACAACAGUACACUAAAGAUAUAACAUCAUAGUAACCUGAUUUUUAUGGGUAUCGACAAAUCAUGACAUUUGAAUAACUUAGCCAUUGCUUGAAAUGUAGAUCUUGCUUUCUCUAUCCUACAUUUGAUUUCUAUGGAAUGAUCCCAAUCUUCAUUGACGUUCGUACCAAGGUAGGUGUAUGUAUUUACUCUUUCUAUUUGUUGACUGUUCACACUGAUUCGUCUAAAUUGCUGUUCCUUCUUAGAGAUCAUCAUACAUUCUGUUUUCUUAGUGUUUAGUGAAAGUCUGCAUCACUGAUUGACUUCUGCGAUUCUGUUCAAUAAAUAUGCACCAGAAAUAAACAAACCAAGACACUUAAAUGUUACGAGGAGUACUCCCUAAUCAUGAUUUACACAAAAAAUAUAUAAACCUUGUAAAUCAGGAUUUGGGAUUUACAAUGUACUUAUAUAAAUUGUAAAUUAUUAUUUAGGAGUGCACCUCGUAACAUUCAAUGUUUCUUGGUUUAUUUAUUUCUAAUGCAUCUUUAUUGUGAUUGUAGUAAGUAUAAUAUAUAGGUAUAUAUGUAUAUCUUUUUAGGUAAUGAUCAAGAAAAUAGAUACAAUAGUGCACAUGUAAGAACAAGAAAUGUUGCCGAAAAGCUAUUUGGAACCUGGAAAAAACAGUUUCCAUGUCUUCAAAAGUUCUACAAACCGAAUUAAAUACAUACCUUGCAAUAUGUGCUACAACAGUACCUUAUAAGUUAUAAU